AGUAAAUAGAUACCCCGGUAGUCCACGCCGCAAACGAUGUCGACUUGGAGGUUGUGCCCUUGAGGCGUGGCUUCCGGAGCUAAACGCGUUAAGUCGACCGCCUGGGGAGUACGGCCGCAAGGUUAAAACUCAAAUGAAUUGACGGGGGCCCGCACAAGCGGUGGAGCAUGUGGUUUAAUUCGAUGCAACGCGAAGAACCUUACCUACUCUUGACAUCCAGAGAACUUAGCAGAGAUGCUUUGGUGCCUUCGGGAACUCUGAGACAGGUGCUGCAUGGCUGUCGUCAGCUCGUGUUGUGAAAUGUUGGGUUAAGUCCCGCAACGAGCGCAACCCUUAUCCUUUGUUGCCAGCGGUUAGGCCGGGAACUCAAAGGAGACUGCCAGUGAUAAACUGGAGGAAGGUGGGGAUGACGUCAAGUCAUCAUGGCCCUUACGAGUAGGGCUACACACGUGCUACAAUGGCGCAUACAAAGAGAAGCGACCUCGCGAGAGCAAGCGGACCCCAUAAAGUGCGUCGUAGUCCGG
rnacentral:rRNA from 1 species